AUUGAACGCUGGCGGCAUGCCUUACACAUGCAAGUCGAACGCGAAAGGGGGCAGCCCUGAGUAGAGUGGCGAACGGGUGAGUAAUGCAUCGGAACGUGUCCUGUAGCGGGGGACAACCCCGAGCAAUCGGGGCUACUACCGCAUACGUCCUACGGGAGACAGUGGGGACCGCACGGCCUCACACUAUCGGGGCGGCCGAUGCCGGAUUAGCUAGUUGGUGGGGGAAGAGCCCACCAAGGCGACCAUCCGUAGCUGGUCUGAGAGGAUGAUCAGCCACACUGGGACUGAGACACGGCCCAGACUCCUACGGGAGGCAGCAGUGGGGAAUUUUGGACAAUGGGCGCAAGCCUGAUCCAGCCAUGCCGCGUGAGUGAAGAAGGCCUUCGGGUUGUAAAGCUCUCUCGGCCGGGACGAAAUCGCUCUCGCUAAUAUCGGGAGUGGAUGACGGUACCGGAAUAAGAAGCACCGGCUAACUACGUGCCAGCCGCCGCAGUAA
rnacentral:rRNA from 1 species